GGAGCCGUGUCAGAGUGGUCUAACGUACCUCUUUGCUAAAGAGGCAGGGCUUAACCGCCCUCGAUGGUUCGAAUCCAUCCGGCUCCG
rnacentral:tRNA from 1 species